rnacentral:rRNA from 1 species
GAGGAGAAUCAUUCGCAAUGGGCGAAAGCCUGACGGUGCGACGCCGCGUGAGGGAUGAAGGCCUUCGGGUUGUAAACCUCUGUCGGGAGCUAGGAACGACGAUGGUGCUAACAUCACCGUCGAGUGACCAGCUCCGAAGGAAGCUCCGGCUAACUACGUGCCAGCAGCCGCGGUAAUACGUAGGGAGCAAGCGUUACUCGGAAUCACUGGGCAUAAAGGGCGUGUAGGCGGGCGCGUAAGUCCGGUGUGAAAUCCCUCGGCUCAACUGGGGAAUGCCAUCGGAUACUGCGUGUCUUGAGUGCAGGAGGGGAGAGUGGAACUCUUGGUGGAGCGGUGAAAUGCGUAGAUAUCAAGAGGAACGCCGGCGGCGAAAGCGACUCUCUGGCCUGUUACUGACGCUGAGGCGCGAAAGCCAGGGGAGCGAACGGGAUUAGAAACCCCGGUAGUCC